GACGAACGCUGGCGGCGUGCUUAACACAUGCAAGUCGAACGGAAAGGCCCUGCUUUUGUGGGGUGCUCGAGUGGCGAACGGGUGAGUAACACGUGAGUAACCUGCCCUUGACUUUGGGAUAACUUCAGGAAACUGGGGCUAAUACCGGAUAGGAGCUCCUGCUGCAUGGUGGGGGUUGGAAAGUUUCGGCGGUUGGGGAUGGACUCGCGGCUUAUCAGCUUGUUGGUGGGGUAGUGGCUUACCAAGGCUUUGACGGGUAGCCGGCCUGAGAGGGUGACCGGCAAUAUGGGGAGGGAAAUGCGGCCGGACCCCCUGGGGGGGCGAGCAGGGGGGAAUUUUGCAAAGGGGGGGGAGGCCGGAGGCAGCACCGCCGGGGGGGGGUGGAGGGCCUGCGGUUUGUACCCCGUUUUCGCCGGUGAGAAAGGGUGAGGGAGGGAAGGGGGUAAAGAGCACCGGCCAACUAAGGGC
rnacentral:rRNA from 1 species